AAAAAAAUAAGAGAAGAGAAAAGAAAUAAAGAACGGGAGAAAACAAAAGAAAACCCUUUUCCCACUCGUCCUGGCCGUCGACCCAUUUAUCAGGCACGGGUGCGUUCUGCUCCAUGGGCCCCGCCCGUCAGUCAGCCACAAACUCUCUAUCUUCUCCCCUCGGCAACUGCUUCUCUCGCCACGGCAUCUACAACAACAACCUUCCCCACGAUCUCGCGAGAAGCUCGUAGAAACUGCAGCCCGGACAUCCAUUCUCUUACCCAUCCACUUCCUGCACAACAGCCAUACAAUGCUCGUUGCCGUGCCAUCGUCUCUGCGUGGAGGUUGCCAUGCCGUCGUCGCUGCAUGGAGGUUGUCGUGCCGUCGUCGCUGCAUGGAGGAGACAACGACACGCACGAUGCUGUUUGCCGUUGGACUCCCACGCCCGGCGCCCACCCAGUUCCACCUCGUCGUCGUCCGUGCCGAGGUGAGCUCCGUCUAGCCCCUCUCGCUGUUUACCUCUCUCUCCUCCCUCUUCUUCCUCGGUGUGCUGCACCCUCUCUCCCCUUGGCCAUGCCGACUCUCUAGCCUGCGCACCGAGUCUCCGCCUCAUGCCCCAUACGCGGCAUGCCCG
rnacentral:misc_RNA from 1 species